CUAAGAAUAUUCCGCAAUGGACGGAAGUCUGACGGAGCGACGCCGCGUGGAUGACGAAGGCCGAAAGGUUGUAAAGUUCUUUUGCUGGGGAAGAAUAACCGCAGGAGGGAAUGCCUGUGGGAUGACAAGAACCGGCGAAUAAGCCCCGGCCAACUACGUGCCAGCAGCCGCGGUAACACGUAGGGGGGCGAGCGUUGUUCGGAAUUACUGGGCGUAAAGGGCAUGUAGGCGGCUUGGAAAGCCUGGCGUGAAAGUCUGCAGCUUAACUGCAGGGGUGCGCUGGGAACUGCUGAGCUUGAGUGACGGAGAGGGAGCUGGAAUUCCUGGUGUAGGGGUGAAAUCUGUAGAUAUCAGGAAGAACACCGAUGGCGAAGGCAAGCUCCUGGCCGAUGACUGACGCUGAGGUGCGAAAGUGUGGGGAUCAAAACAGGAUUAGAUACCCUGGUAGUCCACACAGUCAACGAUGUGCACUAGGUGCUGGGGCGGUAGCUUCGGUGCCGGAGCGAACGUGGUAAGUGCACCGCCUGGGGAGUAUGCUCGCAAGGGUGAAACUC
rnacentral:rRNA from 1 species